rnacentral:rRNA from 1 species
AGCGUAGGAGACAAACGUUAUCCGGAGUUACUGGGCGUAAAGGGCGUGUAGGCGGUUAGUUAAGUCUGGCGUGAAAGCUCUCGGCUAAACCGGGAGAGGUCGUUGGAUACUGGCUGACUAGAGGACGGUAGAGGCGUGUGGAAUUCCGGGUGUAGUGGUGAAAUGCGUAGAGAUCCGGAGGAACACCAGUGGCGAAGGCGACACGCUGGGCCGUACCUGACGCUAAAGCGCGACAGCAUGGGGAGCAAACGGG